ACUAAAUACAGGCCUCUUGUGACACAGUGGAGUAAAAAGUGGAGUAUUAUGAGUGGAGCUGUAGAGGCAGAGCUUUUUGGCGUUCCCGGCUAAACGUUCAAGCUCGACUUUCUUUUGCAAGGUUAUACAUCAAAGGCUUAUUUUAACAUAAGGUAUUUAACUUUUACACUAUGUUAGUAUGUACUCGAAUUGCCUUCAUUGCUGCAGUUUGUGAGAAGUAGUUUUGAUUUGAUGCUGCCAUAGCAGCAUAGCUGAGCUGAGAUCAAACCUGUACUGGCUGUAGCGACAGGUUUUCACUGUUUCAGUUUGAAAUCAGUGUUUGAUACAGCAAGGUUUAUAUGUUUAUUAUAUUAUAAAAGCGAUGUGACAAAGCCGUACUAGGAACAUUUUUAGAUUAAAAGUUGUUUUGUUGCUUUAAAAUAUACGAGUCCGUGCAGUUUGCCAAUUCGUUUUCGCUUUGUUAAGGGAAUGUUGAUCGGGUAUAUCGAUGUUCAACAUUGUCAUAGAUACUGACAUACAAUGAUCAUAAAUUUUCAUAGUCUUUGCUUUAUUAAUUAUAUAAAUCUAUGGUCGUACUAAGGAACAGUUUCGUUUUCGCUUUGUUGAAGCGCGCCGUUGAUUCACAGGCAGCCCAAUCUCAGAAUGAAUGAUCAGGUCACAGAAUAAGGUACAUUAGUUUUACAUCAGUACUGAACCAAUUUGCUGAGUAUCCACUUCUUACGUGACUGAAAUGCAAACGUUGUACACAAGACGUAAAAAACUCUGCUUUACCCAUUGUAAACAGACCGCGGACGACGUCGAAAUCUCCCGUGGAAUUUUAAUUUUUUUCUUUUCUUAAUAAUAGUCGUCGUCAUCACAUCACCGUCCUAGAUCUUGAGGUCUCUAUUGUUGGCCGCAUGUUUAAUGAAGUUAUUUAUGAUUAUUUCAGCUUGCCAAUGCCCUGGAGUUGUUCGUGUUAAUGCUGAAAUCGCUGGUGGUUCAAACACGGCCUUCGUUUCGUGGACAAUUCCCCAACCGAAUUGUCCUGCAACUUUAAGUUCUGUCUCACCCCCCGAGGCAAGGAAUGGAAACGGCAGAUACCCAAUUGGAAAAUAUGAUGUUAUCAAUAACUACGAACACAGUAGCGCUUCAGGAAGCUUUUCGCUGAGCCGCUGCCCUGUGAAAAUUACGAUUAAGGGUAAGUUG
rnacentral:lncRNA from 1 species